UACGGAAGGUCCGGGCGUUAUCCGGAUUUAUUGGGUUUAAAGGGAGCGUAGGCUGUCUAUUAAGCGUGUUGUGAAAUUUACCGGCUCAACCGGUAGCUUGCAGCGCGAACUGGUCGACUUGAGUAUGCAGGAAGUAGGCGGAAUUCAUGGUGUAGCGGUGAAAUGCUUAGAUAUCAUGACGAACUCCGAUUGCGCAGGCAGCUUACUGUAGCAUAACUGACGCUGAUGCUCGAAAGUGCGGGUAUCAAACAGG
rnacentral:rRNA from 1 species